CUAGCUAUAGGCUUAACACAUGCAAGUCGAGGGGAAACGACAUCGAAAGCUUGCUUUUGAUGGGCGUCGACCGGCGCACGGGUGAGUAACGCGUAUCCAACCUGCCCAUCACUUGGGGAUAACCUUGCGAAAGUAAGACUAAUACCCAAUGAUAUCUCUAGAAGACAUCUGAAGGAGAUUAAAGAUUUAUCGGUGAUGGAUGGGGAUGCGUCUGAUUAGCUUGUUGGCGGGGUAACGGCCCACCAAGGCGACGAUCAGUAGGGGUUCUGAGAGGAAGGUCCCCCACAUUGGAACUGAGACACGGUCCAAACUCCUACGGGAGGCAGCAGUGAGGAAUAUUGGUCAAUGGGCGAGAGCCUGAACCAGCCAAGUAGCGUGCAGGAUGACGGCCCUAUGGGUUGUAAACUGCUUUUAUAAGGGAAUAAAGUGAGUCUCGUGAGACUUUUUGCAUGUACCUUAUGAAUAAGGACCGGCUAAUUCCGUGCCAGCAGCCGCGGUAAUACGGAAGGUCCGGGCGUUAUCCGGAUUUAUUGGGUUUAAAGGGAGCGUAGGCCGUUUGUUAAGCGUGUUGUGAAAUGUCGGGGCUUAACCUGGGCAUUGCAGCGCGAACUGGCAGACUUGAGUGCGCGGGAAGUAGGCGGAAUUCGUCGUGUAGCGGUGAAAUGCUUAGAUAUGACGAAGAACUCCGAUUGCGAAGGCAGCCUGCUGUAGCGUAACUGACGCUGAAGCUCGAAAGCGUGGGUAUCGAACAGGAUUAGAUACCCUGGUAGUCCACGCGGUAAACGAUGGAUGCUCGCUGUUUGCGUCUGACGUAAGCGGCCAAGCGAAAGCGUUAAGCAUCCCACCU
rnacentral:rRNA from 1 species